CUUUCAAAUGCCCUAUUAAGGGAGGGAUUGGGAAAGUGAAGUUUUCUGUUGCCACUUGAAGUUUGGGCCUGCUGUCUGAGAAGUGCCUGCAAAGCCUGAGCAGCAGAGCUGAGUGAUUGCAGAUGUCUGCCUUUCCUAGGACUUGUUCACGUGAAGUGAACAUGAAGCAGAGAGCUGGAUCCAUCACCUGCUCCAAGAGCUGAGCCAGAGGGGCUGGUUCCCAGCAUCUGUUAGCAUGGAGCUGUCAGCCAGGCCACCUGGUGUCCUCCUGCCCCUUGAAAGUGCUGGGAGUUUCUGAUGCCUCCUUUUGGGAAGGAGGGAUGAUGCCAGCCCUUCCCCAGAUGAGGAGUUGGAAAUGCUGAGUGUUACAAAGGCCACUUAGAAGUCCAGACUUCUCCUCUGCUGCCUUUAAGGAGAAUUCUGCCUGGCAGCCAGGGCCCAGAAGAAAACAUCCAGGCCCACCACAGCACAUUGUUCCUUUUGGCUUCCUCACAUCUUCAGACUGAUGUGGCAGGCUUUGUCCAAGGGAAUUCUGUGGUAACCAAUGAUAUCGAGGAGCUACAGGCUAGAAGAUCGUUUGCAAUCUGCUCUGCUGACUCAAAAUUCCUGUGGAAUAUCACCCUAAAGAAUACACAUUGUACUGAAUACCAAGUACCUUUCAUAUAGGCAAUAGUAUCCCCUCUCUCUCUCCAUGCAGCAGUUUCUCUGUGAGAGACCUGAGGAACAGCCAAAGGAGAGGGAGGUUCAGUUGCUCCAAACCUGGCCAUGGACACCCCCAGUCUCCCAUACCACAACAGCAAGAUGUGUUCACUGAGGUGUGAGCAUCAAACCACAGCCUCCCAAGGUUUGCUCAGGAAACGACCCUGUAGUAGGCUACCAAACACCCUUGACUUUGUUUGUGGGAUGGUUAAUCAACAAGUCUGUCACAAUGAUGGAUUCCUCCUGAAUUGUUGCUUAAUUAGCUCGGUUGGAAGUAUAAAUCAAGUGGAAUACCAAUUCUUCCAAUGCCACAGACAGGCAGCCAUGCUCAGCUUGACAGCAUUGCCCCUCUUGCCCAGGAUGUACCUACCUGAGUGAUGCUCUGCAAGCUGGAAGAUGAGAGGAGAUUACAGUCAACAUUUCCAGCUUGCCCAGACCAUUAAGUACUACCAGCUUGCCCAUGGUGUACUUUCAUUAGCAAUCCUUCCCUCUCCAAGGCACCUCCAUUUUGCCUGGAAAGGACUCUUCAUCCCAGCAGCUUGGAGUGCCACCAAGCAUGAGGACACCUGGCUUCACUCCUUCACCACCUCCAGUGGUUUUUCAAGAUGGUUUUUUAUGGGAUGGCUUUGGACACUGCUCUGUGAGGAGGAAGAAAUGUCACCUGAAACAGAGGUAAAGAGACUCACUCAGACCACAGCCAGCUCCAGGUCAGCCUUUAGGAAUCACUAAAUGGGAAUAUUUUUGCCAAGAGAGUUUUUUAAGCUAAUGCCAAAUGUGUUUUCCCACAUCAGUCACAGUUUGUUAGGCUCCAGUUUUACCAGUUCUGAUCCUCUGAGGGUCCUGUGCCACGACUGCCCAGGCUCCAGCUGCAAGUGUCUGCUGAAUUGCUCAAGUGAGCUGCUUACAAACACCCUGCAGGCAGGAUUUCAUUCCAAACCAUGACAAAUGUUUGGGAGCAGCACUAACACCUCAACACUGCAGCUGGAACAGGUGCAUCACAGAGGGUUAGCAGAAGCACUGUGGCUGAGAUGGCUUUUGGAUGUAUAAACAGCACAAGUUUUGCAGGAAAAGGCAGAGUCUUUCAUGAGAACCAAGCAGCAAAAUCGUGGAGUCCAGAGGAAAAAAGUCCAAACAUCAAACAUCAAAAGAAGCACAAGGUAGGGACUGUGGUUCAAAUGUAAACUAAACCACGUAAUUCUGUUAAAAAUGUGAAAUCAGUCUGACCAAGAAAUCGAAGUUACUUUGUAUACCCACUCUCUAUUUGCGUACACAUUUGCUGCUGUGUAAAAUAUGCAGAGGUAAUUGCACCCCUCAAAACUCAAAAAUAUAAAUUAUGCUCUCUCAUGUAUUAUCUUAGGUGGGGGCAAGUUUCUAGCUGAGCCAUUGGUGGUUGGAUUGACUGGGAAGGUCAUCAGAAAUUCCCCAGGAAAAAAAAAUAGCCUAAAGUCCAAUUCCCUUUACAGCCCUUCUCAUGCUGCAGGUCUCACCUCUUUCCCUCCUCCUCUCACAGUUUCUCUCAAAACCCCCCACAACUCCAGGCUGAGCUUCCUGCAAGGGCCCCACCCUCCCUUUUUAGCACUGAGGAGAUUUCUUACCAUGACCUCUGGCAUCUCUCUAGGUGUACAUGACAAGGGUCAGCCACUGGGAAAAAAAGGAGAAGAAAAGUUGCAUUUAGACAGUGAUGGUACACCAAGUGUUCAGACUUGUCUCAGGACCUUCAGGGGUGACCCAGUGACUGUAGUCCUUUUGUACUGCAAGGGAUAGUUAAGGGAUUUUGGAACUGCCUCUUUCCCUUAUUACAAUUCAGACCCAGAAACUCUUUCCAUAUGUUGUUUUCCAUGAUAAAUUAUUGCAGCAGCUGCUGCAGGAGCAAUUGCUGGGGAAGUGUGGCACCUGCCUGAUUGCAAGUGGAAGAGAUAGCAACUUGUGGGAACCUGGCUAUCCUACAGACUACCCUAUAAAAUUGGUCCAGGUCCCCUGCUUCCAAACUGUGCUCUGCCCUUGGUGCAAAACAGAUUUAAUGAACAAUGAGGCUCUGCACUAACCAUGGAGUGUAAACAGGAGCUGGUGAGAUUGUAAAAGGCUCUUUUAAAAAAUCUUUUUAAACACUGGGUUGUCAAAUAACAGUCCCCAGACUGAUAAAAUGCAGUACUCAGGCAUAUCACUAUGGAGCACAGCAGGAUUUUUGCUUCAGACUAGCUGAUAAAAAGCCUGAUGUAUCCCCAUUCAGUGAGCUAUCCUUCAGGCUGUGCUUUUAAGACAAACAGCAGCAGCAAGCAUUUGUCUGCUGUUUCUUUCUUAAAGCCAAGAUGUUUUUGCAAUUCAGGAUUAACAGAUGGGGCAGUAAGAAAUGAGGGCAUGGAUUUUUUUUUGU